GUCGUGGCCGAGUGGUUAAGGCGAUGGACUUGAAAUCCAUUGGGGUUUCCCCGCGCAGGUUCGAGUUUUCUUUUUAAACA